rnacentral:lncRNA from 10 species
UUAGAUACAGGAAUAUCAACAUCUUGCCAAGGCUGGUCUCUAACUCCUGGUCUCAAGCUACCUUCCCACCUCAGGAACAGGGAUUACAGAGUAACCACAAAAAAACAUGGAGCAUAAAGGUCAGUGGGAACAGGAACCAGGAAUGAAAUAAAGAGAACCAGAAAUGACUCCAUGUAAUUCUGAAUAUCACACAGGAAAGGGGAUUAUGAAAAAUAUGGUUUCCAGCUUCUCUUCUGUGCAUAGAAGAGACUUUAGAAGAUGCUAUUGGUGAAUCUAAGUCGACAACAGAUGAUGAGGCAUAGUAUUGAUAAGUACACCGAGAAGUUUGGAAUAUGCAUAUGGAAGUUUGUAAGCACAGCACAGCCUUUUUAAAGUUAUGGAAGCCAAAUGUGAAUGAGUCAUUAUUCCUAAAGAUUUCAAGAUGUAAUUCAG